UAUACUUUUCCAGUAUAUUGUAACCUAGCAGAGGGCCAGUCUGGUGCCAGCAGCUGCGGUAAUUCCAGCUCUGCAAGUUUGCUCCCAUAUUGUUGUAGUUAAAACGCUCGUAGUCUGAAUUAUUUUAAUUUAAAUUUUUUAAAUUAAAAUUUAGUUUUUAUUUUAUAAAAACGUUCACUGUGAACAAAUCAGAACGCUUAAAGUAAUUUUCUUUAUUGAAUGAUUUAGCGCAGUAUGAAAUUUUUACUUUUUAAAUUUUAAUUAAUUUAACAAGUAAUAUCAAAGAGAAUAAUCGGGGAUAGAUCUAUUUCAUGGCGAACAGCGAAAUGUUUUGACCCAUGAGAGAGAAACGAAGGCGAAAGCAUCUAUCAAGUGUAUUUCUAUCGAUCAAGGGCGAGAGUAGGAGUAUCCAACCGGAUCAGAGACCCGGGUAGUUCCUACCUUAAACUAUGCCGACAAGGUUUUGUUUUUUUUAAUAAAAGCAGUACCAUAGGAGAAAUCAUAGUUCAUGGGCUCUGGGGGAACUACGACCGCAAGGCUGAAACUUGAAGGAAUUGACGGAAGGGCACACCAGGGGUGGAGCUUGUGGCUUAAUUUGAAUCAACACGGGAAAACUUACCAGGACCAGAUAUUUUUAAUGACUGAUCAGGCUAUAGGUCUUUCAGGAUAUGAUUUUUGGUGGUGCAUGGCCGUUGGUGGUGCGUGGGUUGACCUGUCUAGCGUUGAUUCAGAUAACGAGCGAGAUUAUCACCAAUUAAAUAUAUAAAUAUUUUUAUUAAAAUAAUUUAUUUUCUAAUUGGGACUCC
rnacentral:rRNA from 1 species